GAGACAGCAGCCGCCGCGGUAAUACGGAGGAUCCAAGCGUUAUCCGGAAUCAUUGGGUUUAAAGGGUCCGUAGGCGGUCUUGUAAGUCAGUGGUGAAAGCCCAUCGCUCAACGGUGGAACGGCCAUUGAUACUGCAGGACUUGAAUUAUUGGGAAGUAACUAGAAUAUGUAGUGUAGCGGUGAAAUGCUUAGAGAUUACAUGGAAUACCAAUUGCGAAGGCAGGUUACUACCAAUUGAUUGACGCUGAUGGACGAAAGCGUGGGUAGCGAACAGGAUUAGAUACCCGUGUAGUCCCUGUCUCUUAUAC
rnacentral:rRNA from 1 species